UGGGGAAUUUUGGACAAUGGGCGCAAGCCUGAUCCAGCAAUGCCGCGUGCAGGAUGAAGGCCUUCGGGUUGUAAACUGCUUUUGUCCGGAACGAAACGGUCUGCUCUAAUACRGUGGGCUAAUGACGGUACCGUAAGAAUAAGCACCGGCUAACUACGUGCCAGCAGCCGCGGUAAUACGUAGGGUGCGAGCGUUAAUCGGAAUUACUGGGCGUAAAGCGUGCGCAGGCGGUUAUGUAAGACAGAUGUGAAAUCCCCGGGCUCAACCUGGGACCUGCAUUUGUGACUGCAUVGCUAGAGUACGGUAGAGGGGGAUGGAAUUCCGCGUGUAGCAGUGAAAUGCGUAGAUAUGCGGAGGAACACCGAUGGCGAAGGCAAUCCCCUGGACCUGUACUGACGCUCAUGCACGAAAGCGUGGGGAGCAAACAGGAUUAGAUACCCUGGUAGUCCACGCCCUAAACGAUGUCAACUGGUUGUUGGGUCUUCACUGACUCAGUAACGAAGCUAACGCGUGAAGUUGACCGCCUGGGGAGUACGGCCGCAAGGUUG
rnacentral:rRNA from 1 species